rnacentral:rRNA from 1 species
UACGUAGGGUGCGAGCGUUCAAUCGGAAUUACUGGGCGUAAAGCGUGCGCAGGCGGUUCGCCAAGUCAGGUGUGAAAUCCCCGGGCUUAACCUGGGAAUUGCGCUUGAAACUAGCGGGCUUGAGCGUGGCAGAGGGGGGGUGGAAUUCCACGUGUAGCAGUGAAAUGCGUAGAGAUGUGGAGGAACACCGAUGGCGAAGGCAGCCCCCUGGGUCAAGAUUGACGCUCAUGCGCGAAAGCCAGGGGAGCAAACGGG